rnacentral:snRNA from 1 species
AGCUUUAUGCAGUGGCAGUAUCAUAGCCAAUGAGGUCCAACCGAGGUGUGAUUAUUGCUAAUUGUGCUGAAGCUUGAUGAAAGUGGAGAAGCUGUGUUCCCAUUAGGGAAGAGCUGCUGGCUUAUUUUUUGUUGGGGGCUUCGCACAUGCUC